rnacentral:rRNA from 1 species
UGGGGAAUUUUGGACAAUGGGCGCAAGCCUGAUCCAGCAAUGCCGCGUGCAGGACGAAGGCCUUCGGGUUGUAAACUGCUUUUGUACGGAGCGAAACGGUCUGGGUUAAUACCCUGGGCUAAUGACGGUACCGUAAGAAUAAGCACCGGCUAACUACGUGCCAGCAGCCGCGGUAAUACGUAGGGUGCGAGCGUUAAUCGGAAUUACUGGGCGUAAAGCGUGCGCAGGCGGUUUUGUAAGACAGGCGUGAAAUCCCCGGGCUCAACCUGGGAAUGGCGCUUGUGACUGCAAAGCUGGAGUGCGGCAGAGGGGGAUGGAAUUCCGCGUGUAGCAGUGAAAUGCGUAGAUAUGCGGAGGAACACCGAUGGCGAAGGCAGCCCCCUGGGCUAAAACUGACGCU